GUGGCAGUGACGAUUCGGCAGACGGGAGACGCAGGGUCGGAAAUGCGUGGUGGGCUGGGCCCGGCCUUGUGCAGAGUCCGGCAGAUAAUAGAAUGUGUCCCUUCCAGCUGGGCCUUAGGCGUCCGAAUCAACCGUGGAGGAAAACGAAGAUGACAACCAGUUUGUGAGUGAGAGACCAUCAAUACCUGUUCUUGAAUACAUUGAGCUGAUCUGUGGUGAUGAUAAAGAGCCUAGAACCUAUGGUAGUGAUAGGCUGUAGAAUUACAAGAAGAAAUGGGGUGAGAAUAGCAGAGCAUGUCGCAAAAGAAAUGAAGAUGACAAUAUUUAAGGAUAUUAUAGAAGAGAAGGCCAAAAUCUGUGUUAUAGUUGAUGAGGCAUCCGCGGUUUCAAAGAAGAGGAUCCUCGUGAUUUAUGUCCAGUACACAGUAUAGUCAGCUCCUGCACCGGUUAUGUUGUUUGUUACUUUAAAGGAACUGGUGUCAGCCACAGCAGAAUGUAUCUUCAAUACGUUAUUGAGCACUUUAAAUGAUUGUGGCUUCACUAAUGAAUAUUUGAAAGCAAAUUUAAUUGCAUUUUGUCCUGAUGGUGCUAAUAUAAUGCUGGGUAGAAAGUCCGGAGU